UUUUAACAGCGGAGAUAUUUUUAGUUUAUUAAAAUUUACUUGAACCAAACAUGUCGAACCCAAUUACAACAGCAGUUGGAAAAUAUCCCGCCUUGGCGAAUGGACCACUUGCUAAGCCAGAUGGCAUGAAAGGUGCUUUGCUGAAAAGUGUAAGAGCAAGCGUUCUACCAAGCGUUGCCGUGUGUCUUGGUGUGUACGGUGUCACCAUGUACGCCACUUUCUUCCGGCGCAAGGCCAAGAUUGAUACUUACAUGAAAAAUUUGGAUCCCGAUGCAAUGUUUGAAGAAAUAAAAGAAUACGGAGCAUUUAAAAGUGUAAAGGCCUCCUGGCAAGAGUAGUUUCAUUUCCUCUGUUCUUUGUAUGUCUCUCUGAAAACACUUUCAAAUGGUGACCCUGGAAUUUUCUUGUGUAUUUUAUGAGUUCAAAAUGUUGAUUACAUUGUAUCGGAAUUAAAUGUUAUUGU